rnacentral:rRNA from 1 species
AUUGAACGCUAGCGGGAUGCUUACACAUGCAAGUCGAACGAGUGGCGAACGGGUGAGUAAUGUAUCGGAACGUGCCCAGUAGCGGGGGAUAACUACGCGAAAGCGUGCUAUACCGCAUACUAUUGGAGCGGCCGAUAUCGGAUUAGCUAGUUGGUGGGGUAAAGGCCUACCAAGGCGACGAUCCGUAGCUGGUUUGAGAGGACGACCAGCCACACUGGGACUGAGACACGGCCCAGACUCCUACGGGAGGCAGCAGUGGGGAAUUUUGGACAAUGGGGGCAACCCUGAUCCAGCCAUCCCGCGUGUGCGAUGAAGGCUUCGGGUUGUAAAGCACUUUUGGCAGGGAAGCGGUACCUGCAGAAUAAGCACCGGCUAACUACGUGCCAGCAGCCGCGGUAAUUC